rnacentral:snRNA from 1 species
GGAUAUGAGGGUGAUCUGGCUGCGAUAUCUGUCACCCCAUUGAUCGCCAGGGUUGAUUCAGCUGAUCUGGCUGGCUAGGCGGGUGUCCCCUUCCUCCCUCACCGCUCCAUGUGUGUCCCUCCUGAAGCUGCGCGCUCGUUGAAGAGGACGGCCUUCCCCAAAUAGAGACGGACUGGUCUUCGGUCGAGGGUAUACAAGUAGCUGCGCUCCCCUGCUAGAACCUCCAAACAAGCUCUCAAGAAUAUAUAUAUGACAGACUUUGAAACUAAACUUAUCUCCACUUGAACCAGAAGAUUUAAAAUCAGAUCAAUAUUC